CAAUGCUUCCAUGGUCGUCCGAUCGUUAUCGAAAUCCAUCGAGGGAUUCGAGGCAGGUUAUGACGCAGCCUUGCGAUCAUUAUUACUGAAAAUUUCUAUCGUUGCAGGUGGAAAACUGAUCCUGUUUGAUAUUGCUACCGAUUACCAUGCGAUGUUGGUACUCAUCAAGAAGAUGAACGUAAGAUGACCUCGAGACAUCGUACCCUUUCAUCAGACGCGAAAGCAACGUCACCGAUAAAAUGGCUGAUUUCUUAUGCGACGCGGCGUACGGUUCGAUAAGCCUAACCGACGAUGCGCUUGGACGGCACUUGGCCGAAUAUCUACUCCGAAGCCCUCGAGGUAGGCCGCUCGGAAGAAAAGGAGAUCAGCGACGAUCGAAGAAGCAUCCUCGGCGAAUCGAGUAGUAACCGAAAAUCUAAAGGGUCGCGUGACAUUUCGCGAGGUCCCGCGGCCGAGCAUCGGCCAAGAAAUGUCGUCCACCGGGGUAGGAGACAAAGCGCGGACCAAGAAGAGGACCGGUAUAAGACGCGUAACGCGAAAGACAGGGAGAGAGAGAAAGGGAGAAAGGAAGAAAGAAAGUAUGCAGAAGCACUCGUGUCAGAGGCGACCAAUAAAUUUAUCGAGCGGGUGUUGGCAUGGAGACUGCUGGACAGAGUUCGGUUGGAUGGCCCAGAGGGCGAUGAGAGGGCACUCGAGAAUCCUCCAGGAGCCCGUCACGGGGAAAUUGGAGGCAGCCACGGCGGCGACCAGGAGGAGGAACACCGAGAGGAAAGAGGAGAGACGCGUAUCCCCCCCUGAAGAAGGACAAAGACAGAGAUCGUAGAAAACGAGGAAGGAGAAGCUCGUGGAGGAAACGAGGUGGACGGGAAGAGGGGUACGAGGUAUCGAUUUCUCGCGGUGAUCCAAUCAACGAUGGUGCCUUAUCUGACGCCUUUGCCACCCGCUUUAACCUCUCAGAUACGGAUUCACCUUCGGAUUCUGCGAAUUUUCAAACGACUACUAAUGGUACCGGGGCUGAAGGGUUCGCGCGUUCGGUACGGGACAACCGUGCCCCAUAGAAGCGAACGAAUUACCCAAGAAAUAGAACGAUGUCUAUAUCGAUGAAACGAGAUUGAAAUAUCAGCUGAGCAUGAUCACCAGGAAUUCACCGAUAUUUGUUUACGGAAGUUUGCGAAGAGAAGACGAUCCGCGAGAAGAAAACGGUAAAUCACUCGGAGGAUGAAAGUGGCGGACGACCUAGUGAGUGUUCGAGUCGCACUCGUGGGACCUAUGUCGGUUCAACUGGUUCUACGUUUGAUUUGAUGGAGCAAGAGGGAUGAAAAAAAAAAAGGGAAAGAGGGAACGAGAGCAGAAGAGCGAAAGAGUAGUGCGCUCGGCGUUGUAGGACUCUCCGCUGGAGAGCCCUCCCUCUCUCUCGCCUGCUUAAAGCCCUAUCCACUACUCAUUUAUCAAAUAAAUCAACACAGCUACUUGUGCACCUGUGAAGAGAUUCAACCUGCGGCCCGUGCCGUCCAAAAGACCGUUGGCAAUCUCUGUAAAUCGAUUUCUUCGCCGAACAAUCGACCAACAAGAAAGUUUAUCGAUCAAACGUCAAUUUUUAAUUAAUUUUAAUUUCUAACUCUGUAAUUCGCGUCGAUUUACGUUUUCCUUUUAAUGUGAAAAAAAUCAUAAAAUUUCAGAUUACUCGAAAGAAAGCCGAAAGAGGAAGCUGAGGAAGGAACGUGGUAAUUAACGGGAUGAAAGAGGAGAUUCAGCUGUUUCCUCCCUAGGCGAGGAGUUGCUACGUUUCGCGUGCAGAUGGAGCAUUGGAGAAAGUGGAAAGACGCAAGGAAGAAAAUGGAAUAAGAGGUAGGGAACGAGGGAUUACGAGGAGUGGCUAAGGGAGCUGGAAAGAGACGAAGGAAACGAGAGAGAGAGCAUAAUCAAAGAGCUUCGAAAAAUCAGGAUGCACUUAGAAGCACGUACUCGGCCUAUAGAGAGGCAUUCAGUUAUACUGGUGAGUUUGGAGUCAAAGCAAGGACCCUUGCCUCAGCCGGCGCAUUACCUCUGCUGCUCUCGUCGUCGUCUAUGCCCCGCGUUUAUAUCCACCAGCUACCUUUUCCUCGGUAACCACCACCUCGUUCUAUGUAUUUACGAUCACCGGAUUCAACCAGCCUUUCCUUUCAGCGAACCAACAUCGACGAGAUUAGAAAGCAAACGUGUGUCAUGAUUAUUGGACGAGCCAUCGUUACAAAGAACGGCGAGACACGAGUGAGAUACGACUUUCUUUUCAUCAUUAGACUCCAAAAUGAAUACGAUUAUCUCAGUGCGAGAUUCAAUUAAAUAUCUCAGUUCAGUGAGCCUUAUCAGCCAUAAUUCUUUUCGAUUGACACCUUCGAAAGGAUCGGUUCUGUAGGCCGAUAUCCUACAAGAAAUGGACAUUGUUCUUUAAAAUAAAAGAAUAGUAUCGGUACACGUGGUUAAACGUACCAGCCAAGAACCUGAAGAGCACUGAUAAUCGACAAGUAUCGUUUCAAUGUCGCGGAGAAAACAGUGGCAGAAGAAAAAACAAUCACGCUUCCCUGUCUGUUCGGUUGGGCGUCGAAAAGUCGCGUUGAAGAGUCUUUGGUCCUGGUUGGAGGAUCGUGAUUAGGCGAUAUCGAGUCCUAUACGCGAUCACUCGACGACCGAGUAGAUUGAAGAGGAGGGUAAAAAAGGAAUCAGAGAAGGUGGAGGUGGAGGAGGAGGAGGAGCACGCGAGUAAGUAGGAAGGAGGUCGCGGGACGACACCGAUGGAUCCCUGAAAAGCGUUGAAAAGCUGGCUACUCGACUUUUGUAACGGAGUUAAGAAGAAAGAAGAGAAAGAGAAGAGGUAGAAGGACGCGUAAACCGCAGGAAGGAAGAACCUUUUCAAUAUUUUUAACUUUCAAUCCUCAAGUAUCAUGGCUAGACGCUACCCUUCCUGAAACUGUGAAAUAUUUCUGAUGCCGUUCAAAUCAAAAGGGAUACUUAGGCGUUUGAUCUUAGCUGAGACACCCUGUACGCGAUCGCAAGUCCCAUCAGGAUGUACUCUUGCAAAGGGAACCGUCGUCUCCUUCAAAUGCUACACCAAGAGGGAUAUCGUCCUCCCUGCCAACCCUCUUUCACCUCGUUCGCCAUCUUCUCUCUCUCUCCCUCUGCUACUUCUGUCCCUUGUUUUCUUCGUAUCCUCGGGACAACGCGUGUGCGUGUGCGUGGAUGUCGUCUCUGUUCCCCCUGUGUUCCAGCCGUUCUUCACGGGGGUUCUGUGUGCCGCGAGAGACUUUCGUACGGAUUGCGAAAUCAAGGGCUCUUCCGAGGGCUCUGAAGAGCACGGGCGUGAGAGAAGCCGCCAGGUUUUCCGGCCGAGGCGACGAUCAACGAACGAUCCAUCCUUCUUACGAAGAAGUCAAAUCGGCCAGGAAACGGAUUCUAAUCGGGCAAACGACACAGAACGAUAUCCAAAUUUCCGGCUUGACCGCGAAAUUCGAGACCGCAUCCCCUGAAGAAAUUCCGAAGGAGUCGGUGAAAAGAAUUCCAUGCUGGACGAUCGGUCCUCGAAAGCAGUGAAAUCGGAUCCUUCGGGGGCGGGUAGAUGGGUCAACAAGUCGAAAACGAGAUCACUUUGAGGGAGGAACACGGGGGUACAAGGUAGCCGAACAUUCGAAACCUGAUACUUUCCGCAGGAAUCAAAACGUGUCAUGGAUCCGACCACUUAGGACGUUCGCACUUCCGAUCAGGAAUGAAAAGGAAGAAAGGGAUUGUUUUGGGCACUGCCAACCUGAAUUCGACUAAGCUUAUGGUACAUGAAAUAUCGUUAAAAUUUGAAUUCUACCGUCCUAUUCAUGAAAAAUCACUGAAAGGUUCGAACAAACGGUUGAGAAAAGAGUUUACCCUGAUCCAAGAGGGUGCAAAGCCGAAGGAACCGGCAGGACCAGUAAAAAAAAAAAACCACGAGUACGGCGCCUGUUAAAAUCCGAUUCGACGGAUGAUCCUCACCAAUGACUACGGAAAGGCACAAUAGAGGAGGAUUGAAAGAGGAAAAGAGGAACGAUCGGUGAAGGAAGAGAGGGUGGCGGAUGAUAAAGGAUAAUCGAUGAUCGAUAAACUUAUUCCAUGGUGUUGUCUUUUCUAGAAGAAGCCACGAUGCAUCAUCCGACAUGGAAUAAUGCCGUUUCGUGGCUUCAAGGUUAAUUGGAAUGAAAACGAAGAAAGGAAAAGGAGUAUAAGUUUCUGGAGGGCACCGGACAGAAUCCCACGACAACGCCACUUUUCUUCCCUUAACCCAGCAUCGAGACUCCGUAUCAUUCAUGCCGCUUUAGAGAAAACUACGAGGGAAAGAAAAUAGGUCUAAAGAGAAGAAAAUUGAGGGUUACGGCACAGGUGAAUCGAUGAUCAUCCCCCGACAAAACAGAAUACCUUUCUUUCCUCGACGGACCUGUGUCUAGGAUAUGCGCACCAUUUACUUUUAUGUGGCAUUACGUGAAAGAGCCUCGAGGAACAUCCAUUCAGAUCAUCCCCUAAAUCUGGUCGAGAAAAAGAAGAAAGAAAAAUUCUCUUCUCCUUACUCGGAGACGUGAUUCGAACAGACACGCGAAGGUCCUCGACUCUUAAACCAUCCCGGAAAUCAACUUAAAUUAACAUUUACAAUGGUUAAAUUACUACCAAAGAAAAGCCAACCUGAUAUCUGAUCGCGAUUUCAAUUAAAAACGAAGUCGAUAGGCUGAUAAUAUCGAUCUCGUAAAGGGAACGGGGUGGCUGGUUGGUUUGGCUUUAAGUAAAAGUCCAAACGAAUCGACCCUUGCCCCCAUCGUGGUAGCCGUAGGGUAGGAGGCCUUUCUAUUAGCCACUAGAAAUCGCACGAACCCUUCACAGGGACAAAUCGAAGCGACGUGCAAGACCUGCCUGGCCCUUCGACUCUAAUGGAGUUUCACGCUUGCCGAGAGAGAAUUGGCCCGAAAUCGGGGAGCGACGGAGCAUCCAGCAGGAUCAGCGAGCUGGUCAAGCGAAGAAUUGAUAAUCAAAGCGAUCCUGUUGGUGAUCUAUUUCUCCUAACGAGUUUAACCAAGGAAUAAAAUCGAGAAAUUUCUCGGUCGCGCGAUCCUCUCGAGAGUGGCGGCGUGGCAUGCAGGAAAAGAGUAAAAAGAAAAUUAAGGUGGACAGGGUAGAGGGUAGAUUUAAUCGCGCUAUUUUUUCCGCGAGAAGCACGAGCCACGUAAGUCGAGUUGAAACGUUCGUCGGAGGUGUCGGCGAGCCGCGGUUCCUUCUGUGUACCGCUAAGAAAUCGUGAAACGGGUUGAGGAUGCGUGGAGUGUAAAAGGGGUGAGAGAGCGACUCGACGUCGAGAGGGAUCCGCCCUCCGGUGAAGGGUCCAGGCCAGUAGACAGUCUCACUAAUUACGCCGCGCCUCAUUAGCGUGGAAGCCUGGCAAGUCGCUUAAGGACACGUACGACGACGACGACGACGACUCUUCUUCGGUUUCGUCAAAGAUACGGAUACUUUUUUCCCUUUUCUUUUUUUUCUUUUUUUUUUUCUUUUUCAUUCUUCCUCGAGGAGGACACAGAGAGGGGAAAAAAGGGGCGGUCUUUGCCCGUGACUCUCUCCUCGACUCGCUGACGGAAUAGUAAAAAAAAAAUAUUAGCAAUGAGAGAAAUCCUCUUGUUGAAGCAAGAGUUUCCACGAGAGGAACGGGUCUUCCGUGUAUCAAGGGAUUCGCGAGAAAAAAAGAAACUACGACAAUGGUGGUGUACAUUGCCGAUGUGGUUUCGAGCCGGUUGGUUUUCGAAGGCGGGAAGGCCGAUUUAGAGCACAAUGCGGUUCAAUGCCGAGGAAAUUAGCCACGGCGCUGCCGGUGACGCCCGUCAGACCCACACGAUCGAAAACAGACCGUGUCUACGUCCGCGGACCAUGGGGACGAGUACAACUGUCUUUCAGAUGAAGAAGAAGAAGGCUUUGAAGCUGUACAGGCCAAAGAGACCCGGCACGGGCAUCAUCGAGUGUCUGAAGAGAUCGCGAGGACAAGUUCACCUAUGCUCUCGAAGAUGAAUGGAUCCUAUAGUUAAUGGGGAGGCUGUAUCGCAGGUAGACAUACGUGGAAUGAAUAGACGAGGGUGAACGAGCAUUUAGAGAAGAAGCCUCUGUUCUCUCCUAUCCCCCCCCCCCCCUCUCACCCUACCCUAUCAUCCACCAGGCUUUGUUCGACUCGUCUUCGAGAUCGAAGGUUUUUCUAUGGAAAACACGUGUCCUCGUUAUCCGUUCUAUCAUAAUUACAAUCACGUUCUUGCCUUCUCGUUUCGAAUCGACUCUUCUCGAGGAGAAGAAAUAUAAGGAAUAAGGGAUGAAGAGGAGGAAAAAAGAAAAGAGCAGAGCUCUGUGUCCGAUUCGGCGUGUCGGGACGCGUAUGCGUCCUUUCGACUCGUCCACGGAGCGUGGAGAACGACUAAUGGAUGGAUAAUGACGCGUAAUGGAUGCAGCGGACAUUACAGGUAAUAUCUGGUGAAAGCGGCAGGCAGUUUCCGCGUAAGAGCGAGACAGGUUGGGAUAAAGAGGAAAAGAGAAAAUGUCUGGUAAAUAGAAGCGGCACACACCUCGCUGGCGAUGGAUGGGACGCGGCCGAGAGGUAAUUUCCACGAACGAAUCGAGACUGAAGGAGCCGUGGAAGCUUUCAGGAAGGAUCGCAACCGUUUUCGUGUAUUCAUUCGUUUCGUCGAUGGGACUCGAUGAAAGAUCGUUGCUUACGACGGACUUGCGGGGGAUUCAUAUUUUUCGACGAGAGAAAAGAAAAAUGAAAUAUGUACCACGAUUACUCCGAUCGAGAAGAGACAGCGCGAUUAGCAUUACCGAGCUUAGAUCGCCGGUAACUCGGCCGGUAACGACUCGAGAACGGAUACGUUCUUGGUCUUGCGCCUGGUUUCUGCGCGAUUCGAAGCUCCGUCGCCGUCGCUGCCGCUACACGAGUGUUUGCACUCCACUCGAAACCAGUCCCGAACGAGCUCGCGUGCAGGAGCGAGACAGAAAUCGAGGGAGAGACAAGGAGAGACAAGGAGAGACGGACAGAGCCGAGGGAGAGACGUAGUGGCAUCAGCCGCCAGGACGAGGCGGGAGGCUAGGAACGAAGCUUAAUUUAUCUAACGAGGGGCCUCUGCACCUGUCAUCUGCUCCAAGAUAUGGACGAACGGACACAGGGCAACCCUCUUACGUUCCUCCAUCCCUGGUUCGCCAGUUUCAACGAAUAAGUUUACUUACUUCCUCUACGGAGGGAGCUCGACGCUUAAAUGUAAUAAAAAAGAAAGUUUCAUAAUAAUUUGCUAUCGUCGCGAGUACGAAAAGAUGGUCAGUAAGCGUGGACGGAUCUUCCCGAGGGUGUUCGUCGGGCAGCGUGCGCCUGGCGUUUACUCCCCUCGGUAAAUCAAUCACACACGACCACGGUGUCCCGUGUAGCAGUAUUGUUUUUACGGUCACGCGCGUAACCUUCUUUAUACGUGUGUGCACCCACGCGGCACUUUGGUCACGCCUGUUAGGGCUGCUACACUGUCAGAUCCCUGGGAUCGUAAUUCAUCUUUCUGGAAUCUAACAUCGAGGUAACAGAAUCAACGCUGAAGGAAAAAAGAUCUUCGAGUUAUGCGAAUCCGUUGUCGCAAAGCGAUAGCAGGGGGUUUCGGCUUUUGUAAUUCAGCCAGACAUGCCUCGCGUAUCGCGCGAGGGAGGAGGACAGACGGAUACGUGAAAGGCCGAAGCAACGGUGGUGGAGGUGGAACAUCCACUAAUUGGAUAAUUACGGAGUGCACCGGGUUUGUUUUAUAAUUGGGCGAAAUCCGUGGAACCGUUGCUGCCUCGACGUGCCAAACAACGAAAUGGCCGGAGUCACGCUCUACGUGACGAACUACCCUCUAAGCUAAUCCGGGACCAAAACCCCUCGGCUUUCCAACCCCCCUCGCUCACGCUCCCAGCCGCUACCUCUGACCCCCCGACUUUCAUCUACGCCCCUUCCAAACUACCCCCUCUACCCGCUCACCUACCGCAACCCUACACGAUUGCCAGGACUCCGAGAAAUAGAAUCAAUUCCCCUGGUCGGCUGGCUCGGUUGGAAAAAUCUCGCGUAGUUUUCACAGUCAAAGGUCGUUAACAAUCACCCCCUCCUUAAUUGGAACGCCGUUAAUCGAUUCAGUUGUUUGGGAACUGUUUUUUGGCGACAUCUCUAACGACUAUGAUUGCCCCACGCGACUUUAUCGUCAGUCGUGAUUCACUUUAUUGACGACAAAAGAUUUGGAACAAAAUUUUAAUAAAUAAAAAUAAAACUUUGACUUACCCUGA